GAUGAACGCUGGCGGCGUGCUUAACACAUGCAAGUCGAACGGAAAGGCUCCUGCUUGCCGGGGUACUCGAGUGGCGAACGGGUGAGUAACACGCGGGUGAUCUGCCCUGCACUUCGGGAUAAGCCUGGGAAACUGGGUCUAAUACCGGAUAGGACGAUGGUUUGUAUGCCAUUGUGGAAAGUUUUUUCGGUGUGGGAUGAGCUCGCGGCCUAUCAGCUUGUUGGUGGGGUAAUGGCCUACCAAGGCGUCGACGGGUAGCCGGCCUGAGAGGGUGUACGGCCACAUUGGGACUGAGAUAGGGCCCAGAGUCGAACGGGAGGCAGCGGUGGGAAGUAUUGCGCAAUGGGCGCGAGCCUGAUACAACGACGCCGGGUGGGGAAUGACGGCCUUCGGGUUAUAAACUCCUUUCGCUAGGGACGAAGCGCAAGUGACGGUACCUGAAGAAAAAGCAACGGCUAACUACGUG
rnacentral:rRNA from 1 species